AUAUUCUUGUCAUGUCAUAUUCUUCUGCCAAACAGUGACUGGAGCUGGGGAUAGCAGUGAAAGGGUUAUUUUCAUGUAAGAAAAUAAUCAUAAGGGUAGCAUCUGGAUUUCUGAAAGAAAAAACCUUUUAAAUCAUAUUUUCAUUUCAGAAAAUAAUCCAGCAGGACUAGAAGUCUAGAAACAUUAGACUCCAUAUCUUGUGGUAGUGUUGUGAGGCACAAGGUCAAAGAACAAUUUCCUUCAGCUCUCAAGAACUGAAUGAGGUCAGUUUCAGCCCACACAUAGUAUGCCUUUCGUGAGUUUUCCCACACUCCAGAGAGUAAAGAGGGAUGAAUUCUUUGAACAAGUUGGAAAGUACAUUUUAGGUGCUGUGAUUGCUGCAUGCAUUUUUUGGGGCUUGGUGUAUGCUUUACUCAUGUGGUUCUACAGAUGGUAAGUGCUACAAGUGUUACACAUCCCGCUAUCAGAUUUAGCUGUGGAAAUAUAUGAAAAAAGAGCUUUUAAAGUAAGUAAUCAAAGAAACCAGAAU